UUAGAGUUUGAUCAUGGCUCAGGAUGAACGCUAGCUACAGGCUUAACACAUGCAAGUCGAGGGGCAGCACAGAGAUAGCUUGCUAUCUUGGGUGGCGACCGGCGCACGGGUGAGUAACGCGUAUCCAACCUGCCCAUUACUCGGGGAUAGCCUUGCGAAAGUAAGAUUAAUACCCGAUGUUGUUAAAAACCCGCAUGAGUUUUUAACCAAAGAUUUAUUGGUAAUGGAUGGGGAUGCGUGACAUUAGGUAGUUGGUGAGGUAACGGCUCACCAAGCCCACGAUGUCUAGGGGUUCUGAGAGGAAGGUCCCCCACACUGGAACUGAGACACGGUCCAGACUCCUACGGGAGGCAGCAGUGAGGAAUAUUGGUCAAUGGACGAGAGUCUGAACCAGCCAAGUAGCGUGCAGGACGACGGCCCUCUGGGUUGUAAACUGCUUUUAGUUGGGAAUAAAAAGAGGGACGUGUCCCUAAUUGUAUGUACCAUCAGAAAAAGGACCGGCUAAUUCCGUGCCAGCAGCCGCGGUAAUACGGAAGGUCCAGGCGUUAUCCGGAUUUAUUGGGUUUAAAGGGUGCGUAGGCGGGUUGCUAAGUCAGUGGUAAAAGCGUGUGGCUCAACCAUACCAAGCCAUUGAAACUGGUGACCUUGAGUGUAAACGAGGUAGGCGGAAUGUGACGUGUAGCGGUGAAAUGCUUAGAUAUGUCACAGAACCCCGAUUGCGAAGGCAGCUUACCAGCAUACAACUGACGCUGAGGCACGAAAGCGUGGGUAUCAAACAGGAUUAGAUACCCUGGUAGUCCACGCAGUAAACGAUGAAUACUAGCUGUUGGCGAUAAACAGUCAGCGGUAAAGCGAAAGUGUUAAGUAUUCCACCUGGGGAGUACGCCGGCAACGGUGAAACUCAAAGGAAUUGACGGGGGCCCGCACAAGCGGAGGAACAUGUGGUUUAAUUCGAUGAUACGCGAGGAACCUUACCCGGGCUUGAAAGUUAGUGACGGACUUGGAAACAGGUCUUUCCUUCGGGACACGAAACUAGGUGCUGCAUGGUUGUCGUCAGCUCGUGCCGUGAGGUGUCGGCUUAAGUGCCUUAACGAGCGCAACCCUUGUUGUUAGUUGCCAUCAGGUAAUGCUGGGAACUCUAGCAAGACUGCUACUGUAAGGAGGAGGAAGGUGAGGAUGACGUCAAAUCAGCACGGCCCUUACGUCCGGGGCGACACACGUGUUACAAUGGUAGGUACAGAGGGCAGCCACCCAGCGAUGGGGAGCAAAUCUCGAAAGCCUAUCUCAGUUCGGAUUGGAGGCUGAAACUCGCCUCCAUGAAGUUGGAUUCGCUAGUAAUCGCGCAUCAGCCAUGGCGCGGUGAAUACGUUCCCGGGCCUUGUACACACCGCCCGUCAAGCCAUGGGAGCCGGGGGUGCCUGAAGUUCGUAGCCGUUAAGGAGCGACCUAGGGCAAAACUGGUAACUGGGGCUAAGUCGUAACAAGGUAACC
rnacentral:rRNA from 1 species